AGUGAACGCUGGCGGUAGGCCUAACACAUGCAAGUCGAACGGCAGCACAGUAAGAGCUUGCUCUUACGGGUGGCGAGUGGCGGACGGGUGAGGAAUACAUCGGAAUCUACUUUUUCGUGGGGGAUAACGUAGGGAAACUUACGCUAAUACCGCAUACGACCUACGGGUGAAAGCAGGGGAUCUUCGGACCUUGCGCGAUUGAAUGAGCCGAUGUCGGAUUAGAUAGUUGGCGGGGUAAAGGCCCACUAAGUCGGCGGUCCGUAGCUGGUCUGAGAGGCUGGUCGGCCACCUUGGAACUGGACCACGGUCAAGACUCCUAAGGGAGGGCGCAGUGGGGAACAUUGGACAAUGGGCGCAAGCAUGAUCCAGCCGUACCGCGUGGGUGAAGAAGGCCUCCGGGUUGUAAAGCCCUUUUGUUGGGAAAGAAAAGCAGCAGGUUAAUACCCCGCUGUUCUGACGGUACCCAAAGAAUAAGCACCGGCUAACUUCGUG
rnacentral:rRNA from 1 species